GAUGAACGCUGGCGGCGUGCAUAACACAUUCAAGUCGAACGGUGAAGGGACUUCGGUCCCGGAUCAGUGGCGGACGGGUGAGUAACGCGUGAGAAACCUGCCUUUCAGUGGGGGACAACAGUUGGAAACGACUGCUAAUACCGCAUAACGUGCCGGGAGGGCAUCCUCCUGGUACCAAAGCUUUAUGUGCUGAAAGAUGGUCUCGCGUCUGAUUAGCUAGUUGGUGAGGUAACGGCUCACCAAGGCGACGAUCAGUAGCCGGUCUGAGAGGAUGAACGGCCACAUUGGGACUGAGAUACGGCCCAGACUCCUACGGGAGGCAGCAGUGGGGAAUAUUGGGCAAUGGGGGAAACCCUGACCCAGCAACGCCGCGUGAAGGAAGAAGGCCUUCGGGUUGUAAACUUCUUUUAGCAGGGACGAAGAACGUGACGGUACCUGCAGAAAAAGCAACGGCUAACUACGUG
rnacentral:rRNA from 1 species